rnacentral:rRNA from 1 species
GACGAACGCUGGCGGCGUGCUUAACACAUGCAAGUCGAACGAAGUGGCGAACGGGUGAGUAAUACGUGGGUAACCUGCCCUCCUUUGUGGGAUAAGCCUUGGAAACUGGGUCUAAUACCGAAUAAAGGGGGAGGGGCUCGCGGCCUAUCAGCUUGUUGGUGGGGUGCUGGCCUACCAAUGCGGUGACGGGUAGCCGGACUGAGCGGGUGACCGGCCACGUUGGGACUGAGUUGCGGCCCAGGGUCGUACGGGAGGCGGAAGUGGGGGAUAUUGCACAAUGGGCGAGCGCCUGAUGCAGCGACGCCGCGUGGGGGAUGAGGGUUUUCGGGUUGUUACCCUCUGUCGCUAUCGAGCGGGUAGGUGGAGAAGAAGCGCCGGCUAACUACGUGCCAGCAGCCGCGGUAAUAC